rnacentral:lncRNA from 1 species
CGGUCGAUGGAUUUUGGCCGUGGGGUAGUAUUCAUAAUUCAGAUGAGUAUUUAUAUGUAUGUGUAGGUAUCAGGUAUUGCGAGUCCAUGGCUUCCAAUAGAUGCAAGCAUCUACUGUUAAUUACCCCCUUGAGAUUGGGGCACCUUCGAUUAAGAGACCUUUAUAUCUUGGAUGAGAUGGAUCGUAUCUCGGUUUAUUGAAUCCUAAGUAUAUGUAUUAGGAUUCAGUUGGAUUUGAGGUUGAUUAGGCCCUAAGUAUAUGUGUUAAGACCUAAUCGAUAUUAAACUCUAUGUAUUAGAGUUUAAUUGGUUCAUGAGAUAUGGGUAUGAGAUCUGGGUAUUGGUUCAUGGGAUUUGGGUAUUGGUUUAUGAGAUUUGGGUAUUGGUUCAUGGGCUAUGGGUAUUGGUUUAUGAGAUUUGAAGAUGAUUUAGUUCAUGGCUCAUAGGAUUUGGCCUAUGGUUCAUGAGGUUGGGUAUAUGGUCCAUGGGAUUU